rnacentral:rRNA from 1 species
GUCUCCGGCCAUGCCACCCUGAACGCGCCCGAUCCCGUCUGAUCUCGGAAGCUAAGCAGGGUCGGGCCUGGUUAGUACUUGGAUGGGAGACCGCCUAAGAAGGCGUGAAAAAUAAAAAGU